CGAGUGGUGACCUCCGAGUGGGCUGGUGACAUCAGAAUGCACAUGGAGGUUGUCCACGGGAACUGAGAGCUGAGUGAGCAAAGAGCCACCCUGUUGGUGAUGACCAAGAGGGAAGACAUCUGAGAGAAAAUGGGAACAGCAUCUGUUGUGCUUGGUUAUGGUACGAGCCAGGGUGGAUAGGAGAUGAAGGCGUGUGGUAGCAUCUGACGGGAACGGAAGGCAUCUGGAGAGAGGAACAAGUGGCCAAGAAAAGAAGCCGUGGCAUCCACCUUGCUGCCAAGGCGACCCAGCCAUUUCUUCCCAUGGCUUUGACAUGAGGGACAGACCGCCAAUCUGGAGGGUGAAAACAAUGGAUGAAUAUCCAAGUUCUUGAACCACAAGACCUUCCAGAGUCUGAACGUGA